AACGAACGCUGGCGGCAGGCUUAACACAUGCAAGUCGAACGCAUCGCAAGAUGAGUGGCAGACGGGUGAGUAACGCGUGGGAACAUACCCUUUUCUACGGAAUAGCUCUGGGAAACUGGAAUUAAUACCGUAUACGCCCUACGGGGGAAAGAUUUAUCGGGGAAGAAUUGGCCCGCGUUGGAUUAGCGAGUUGGUGGGGUAAAGGCCUACCAAGGCGACGAUCCAUAGCUGGUCUGAGAGGAUGAUCAGCCACAUUGGGACUGAGACACGGCCCAAACUCCUACGGGAGGCAGCAGUGGGGAAGAUUGGACGAUGGGCGCAAGCCUGAUCCAGCCAUGCCGCGUGAGUGAUGAAGGCCUUAGGGUUGUAAAGCUCUUUCACCGAUGAAGAUAGUGACGGUAGUCGGAGAAGAAGCCCCGGCUAACUUCGUGCCAGCCGCCGCAGUAA
rnacentral:rRNA from 1 species